rnacentral:rRNA from 1 species
UACGAAGGGGGCUAGCGUUGCUCGGAAUUAUUGGGCGUAAAGCGCGCGCAGGCGGUUCUUUCAGUCUGAUGUGAAAGCCCACGGCUCAACCGUGGAGGGUCAUUGGAAACUGGAGAACUUGAGUAUAGAAGAGGAAAGCGGAAUUCCACGUGUAGCGGUGAAAUGCGUAGAGAUGUGGAGGAACACCAGUGGCGAAGGCGGCUUUCUGGUCUGUAACUGACGCUGAGGCGCGAAAGCGUGGGGAGCAAACAGG